AGCUUCAUAACUCACUCAUUCCUUAAUCAAAUUUAGUGAUCUUGGUGUCUAUGGAAAGAGGAGAGGAAGACCUACUGAUCUAAAGCUUCAAUUUAAGAUUCUUCGUUAGACAUCGGAAUUGAAUGAUUUUUGCGGCAACGGAAAGAGGAGAACCAUACCUACUGAUUGAGCCCAAUAAAUCAAGACAAACCGAGAGGCGAAGGGAUCGACGGUUUUGGCCUAGGAGUAUUCGGCCAAGACUAAUGCGUAUAAACAAUUUGGAUUGGAAAGCAAGGAGUACCUAGACUUGGAGUGACUAGAAGUCCAUUGUUUUGCCGGGAGUCUGUCUUGCCAUAUAUAGUCCGACUUCCGUGAUCGCUGCAGUAGUACAUUGUGUGACCAGUCAUGACCUAUGAUUUAUAGUGUUGGAAAAUAUUUAUAACUGCUGUUGUGUAUAACAUGAAUAUUGUAAGGAUGUUAGGUUUAUGCAGUCAGUGUUUAUAAAAUGACUAUCAAUGUUUUCAUAAUUAAAUGCUUCCGUGUUAUAACAUAAUUGCGAAAAAUUUAUAGUGAAUUUCAGGCUUGCUACGGGAUUCGGAACUAUAAUUCCCAUUCCCUAGCGCCGGUCGCGGCCCUCGAUUUUGGGUCGUGACAAAGGUGGUAUCAGAGCAGUUGGUCCAGUUACCACUGCCAGUCUAUUAAAAGUGUCUAUUUGACCUUAAGUACCUAGGAACUACUGCAGCGUAUAGAGUCGAGCCUUAUUGACUAUAUGUGUUUGAUUGAAAUGUUUGUGUCGUUUUGCUUUAAUAUGCGAUUGAUUUGAUUCACGUGUUCACGUGAAUAGUAUAAGUUGUGUGUUGCAUAUUUCAUAUGGUUAAUUGCUUUGUUUUGCUA